rnacentral:tRNA from 1 species
AUUUGUAUAGUUUAAAAAAAACAUUAUAUUUUCAUUAUAAAAAUAUUAUUUUACAAAUA